ACGAACGCUGGCGGCGUGCUUAACACAUGCAAGUCGAACGGAAAGGCCCUGCUUUUGUGGGGUGCUCGAGUGGCGAACGUGUGAGUAACACGUGAGUAACCUGCCCUUGACUUUGGGAUAACUUCAGGAAACUGGGGCUAAUACCGGAUAGGAGCUCCUGCUGCAUGGUGGGGGUUGGAAAGUUUCGGCGGUUGGGGAUGGACUCGCGGCUUAUCAGCUUGUUGGUGGGGUAGUGGCUUACCAAGGCUUUGACGGGUAGCCGGCCUGAGAGGGUGACCGGCCACAUUGGGACUGAGAUACGGCCCAGACUCCUACGGGAGGCAGCAGUGGGGAAUAUUGCACAAUGGGCGGAAGCCUGAUGCAGCAACGCCGCGUGCGGGAUGACGGCCUUCGGGUUGUAAACCGCUUUCGCCUGUGACGAAGCGUGAGUGACGGUAAUGGGUAAAGAAGCACCGGCUAACUACGUG
rnacentral:rRNA from 1 species